rnacentral:lncRNA from 1 species
CCCCACAUACAAUAAAUUAUAUCUAUUAACUAUCCAUGUCCAAAUCUAAGCCAUGCAUAUAAUCAAAAAAUAAAAAUAAAUAUUGAGAUUAGAUCUCAAUAUAUUUUGUGUGUCGAGCUACACUGCAGUCGAUGAUCGUGGAUCUGAAUGGUUCUUUUAGCCAUGCACGUGGUUGACCUCCACAGAUAUCCAUAAGAGGACUCAUUCCAAUCAGAAAAGAGAUGAUCUCCCUGGGGUGCUAGCUCUCUUAUAGAGAUCUCCUCUUUGAUGGCUGAAGUAGCUUCUUUUCAAAUCUCACAGACUCUCUAGAGAUGAAGAAGAACUAGAGGAAGAGAGAAAAGGAAGGAGAGAGGAGGCUCGACUUCAAGAAAAUA